CAGCCGCCACGGGAAUACGUAGGGUGCAAGCGUUAAUCGGAAUUACUGGGCGUAAAGCGUGCGCAGGCGGUUAUAUAAGACAGAUGUGAAAUCCCCGGGCUCAACCUGGGAACUGCAUUUGUGACUGUAUAGCUAGAGUACGGCAGAGGGGGAUGGAAUUCCGCGUGUAGCAGUGAAAUGCGUAGAUAUGCGGAGGAACACCGAUGGCGAAGGCAAUCCCCUGGGCCUGUACUGACGCUCAUGCACGAAAGCGUGGGGAGCAAACAGGAUUAGAUACCCGGGUAGUCCCUGUCUCUUAUAU
rnacentral:rRNA from 1 species